GAACUGUGUAGGUAGGCUACACUGCGGCCCGCUGCCUACUUCGCUUCAUACGGCCGAAAAGCCGUGUCUUCCUCGACCAGCCUACGGCGAUGGCGAUGAGGCGACGAGCUAGGCGUGACGGCGCCGGCUGGGCAGUGGGCGUGGCUCUCCGGCGGCCCGGAGCGGCAGACGCCGGCGAGGGAGAAUCAUCUCCAGGCCAUUCCUCAACAGUUGGCACUGUUGAUGGCAUGCAGCCACUGGCGACUCAUCAGUUCUUUUGCCCUCUCCACUAGGGCAGAGAGAGGUGUGUUACAUUCCAUGAAGCCCAUGUCACCCAAGAAAAACAUGUACUUCUCAGCCCUUGAGGGUGUCUCUUCGACCAUCGACACUGCAUCCAUCAUUCGGAAUUCAUUGAAACAAUUGGCAUAGCAAGAAUUGCACUCCAUCAUGUAUAUGCAUUGCUCUAGUAUCACCCUCCGGAUCCCAGGGCAAUGAGGAUUUGGUUUCAUGUUUGCAUUCAGUGCGUCCACUAGCCUCUUAAUGAAUCUCCGCUUCAUCUGCCCGUGCUCUAGCUCUUGGGAAAAUUCUUCAGGAAUGAGUUUGCAUAUCUGUGAACUAAGGCCAAUUAGGAUUUCUAGUUCUGCCCCCUCAGCGUCCAUUGUUCUUUCCAACACCUGUAGUGGAACCAGCAAUGCCAUGUAGCAUGAUAAAUAUAAUUGUCCAAACUAAGUUUUUUUUAGACUGGUACAAACUAAGUUAUACUUAUAUAGUUCAUUGGUAAAUAAACGACCCCUUCUUUUUACCAAAAAUGACAAAAAUUAAUAGACAGCAAAUGCACAAAUGAUAUGGCAUGCUAUACACCUCUAUAUUGCACUUGCAGUAUGUAUUAGCAGGGCUCACCUCUUGCAAUGUGUGAGAUAGUUCCUUUAGGUCUGAUUCUGUGAGCUCAUAUUGAGCGUGCAGGCACAUAUUACGCAAUAGACUUGCUGCCACAUAUAUGUAUUUGUCAUCAUGGAUCAGGAUCAUAUUUUUUAGUUUAUGAAUGAAAUCUGGUUCCUUCAACAUAACGAAGCAGUUGUGCGGAUUUUCUGAUGACAGCAUUACCAGUGCUUGCCUGGCAAUCUUUGGCAGUAAGCAAUCAACAUCUGAACUAAAUGAUCCGUUAGAAUCGAGGAAUGCCUUCAUCAGCCCGGUAAUAAGCAUUUUCAUUUGUCCAAUCUCCUGCCUUGUGUCUCCGUCAAUUGCAAGGUUUCUGAGGAUUCCUGCCACGAGCCUCCUUAGUUCUUGAUUACUGUUGCUGUCUCCCAAGAUCUCUGCAAGGUUUCUCAAUAAGAAGGGAUGUUUUGAUAUCUUAUACCGCAGUUUUAUGGCGAUUUCGCCGUCAAUUCUUGUGAGCCUCUGCAACACCUUCAACGAUGACUUUAAGAGAACCUUCUGUUGUGCUUCAGAAUUUACCAUUGCACUUCUGAAGCUUGUGAAUCCAAUGAUUUUGGGGAUCAGGGAGAAGAUCAUCGUUUGUCAAUGGCUGCUCCUUGGGAAUUGACCAGUACGCCAGUAUCCUAUGCAAAAUUCUAGGAGUGGGUGCCCUCUUUUCGGCUUUCCAUCAGCAUCCAGAAGAGUAGAUACAAGCUGCAAUGUCCCAGGGACAGUUCCAACUCGGAGGUUCUUUGCGAGCUCGGCAGUGACCUUGGCGGCAUAUAACCUGAUAGCUGUACAAUGGUGUCUACUACUCCAGUCCAACAUGCUGAUUAACCUGGCCAUCGUCUGUGUUGAACCGGUGAGUUUCUCUAGCAACCGUGCCCUGGUCAGAUCACUUUGCAGUAAUGUGUGCAUCAUCCGGACAGCGUAUAGCUGAUUCUUGGAUAGGUCCGAAUUCAGAGAAUCCAUGGCAAAGUUGCCGAGGCUGAUCCUCUUUGGAGCAAACAGACCUCCUUCCAUGUAUUUGUCGUAGGCGUAUGCGUAGUACAGAUCGACAGAUUCCGCUCCCCACUGACCUGUAAACCACCAUGGCGGACGAGGUGUCUCCGAGGGAUGAAGCAGAAGAUCUCCAACACCGCGGCAAUGAUGUAAAGUAUUCCCUGGGCAAUCACCAUUGCGUAGAACAUUUUUAGAGAUGGGACAAGAUUUGCAUGGCCGUCGUAGCCCUUUGGAUUAA